rnacentral:rRNA from 1 species
UACGUAGGGUGCAAGCGUUGUCCGGAAUUAUUGGGCGUAAAGAGCUCGUAGGCGGUUCAGUAAGUCGGGUGUGAAAACUCUGGGCUCAACCCAGAGGCGCCACCCGAUACUGCUGUGACUUGAGUACGGUAGGGGAGUGGGGAAUUCCUGGUGUAGCGGUGAAAUGCGCAGAUAUCAGGAGGAACACCGGUGGCGAAGGCGGGUCUCUGGGCAGUAACUGACGCUGAGGAGCGAAAGCGUGGGGAGCGAACAGG